UACGUAGGUGACGAGCGUUAUCCGGAAUUACUGGGCGUAAAGCGCACGCAGGCGGCUGGACAAGUCUGACGUAAAAUCUCCUGGCUUAACUGGGAGGGGUCGUUGGAAACUGUUUAGCUUGAGGCAAUGAGAGGGGUGUAGAAUUCCCGGUGUAGUGGUGGAAUGCGUAGAUAUCGGGAGGAAUACCAGAGGCGAAAGCGGCACCCUGGCAUUGGCCUGACGCUCAGGUGCGAAGGCGUGGGGAGCGAACGGG
rnacentral:rRNA from 1 species